ACAACAUCAAAGGUUAUCAUAUCUUUUACUGCUCGUGGAUCUGGUCAUCGAACAAAUCGGAAACGAUGUCGUCCUUUUUGCAGAUCUGUUAAAUUUUUUUUAAUAAAAAGAUUUUGAUUAAAAUAAAUUGAAUAUGAUGAAUACAAAACAUACAAGUGUAUGGAUGAAGUGCAGGGACAAUCAAGCAUAGGUAUACUAAAAGUUAUCAAAGGAUGAAAAACAAGGCAACUGAAAAAAUAUGAUUAAGUGUAUCAAUUAUUGAAUCCAGUGUAAUUUACUACAGUCAUUUUAGGUAGACACAAAAGCAUGGAAGGGGUAAAAAAGAAAUCAAUUUUACUAGAGUGUGCACAGUUUUUUUUUUUUUUACAUAUAU